rnacentral:rRNA from 1 species
UACAGAGGUCUCAAGCGUUGUUCGGAUUCAUUGGGCGUAAAGGGUGCGUAGGCGGCGCGGUAAGUCGGGUGUGAAAUCUUGGAGCUUAACUCCGAAACUGCAUUCGAUACUGCCGUGCUUGAGGACUGGAAAGGAGACUGGAAUUUACGGUGUAGCGGUGAAAUGCGUAGAUAUCGUAAGGAAGACCAGUGGCGAAGGUGGGUCUCUGGACAGCUCCUGACGCUGAGGCACGAAGGUCAGGGGAGCAAACGGG